UGACGCCGCUGCUCUCCGUCGCCGGGAGCUCAAGGUGGGACGCCGCAACCGACCGAUCGGGCGGCGGUGAGACGAUGGGGACUCUGGGGAGGGCGAUCUACACCGUCGGGUACUGGAUCCGGGGGACCGGCCAGGCCAUCGAUCGCCUCGGCUGCUGCCUCCAGGGGAACUACCUCUUCCAAUAACAACUGUCAAGGCAUCGGGCACUCAUGAACAUGUUUGACAAAGUACCAAAAGUCCACGAGGAUGUAUUUGUGGCUCCAAGUGCAUCUGUUAUUGGAGAUGUUGAAGUGGGCACAGAUCCUCGAUUUGGUAUGGAUGCGUUCCGAGAGGUCAUGCCUACAUCUUGAACAUAAAUUUGACAGGUCAUAGUGCUGUCUUACAUGGAUGCACUGUUGAGGAUGAAGCAUUUGUUGGUAUGGGAGCUGUCCUACUUGAUAGGGUGGUUGUGGAAAAGCAUGGAAUGGUUGCUGGCGGAGCCCUUGUAAGACAGAACACAAAAAUUCCAUCAGGAGAGGUAUGGGGAGGUAACCCAGCAAGAGUCCUCAAGAAGCUCUCAGAAGAAGAGAUAGCCUUCAUUUCUCAGUCAGCAGCCAAUUACUGCAAUCUGGCCCGAGCUUAUGCUGUUGAGAAUGCCAAACCAUUCGAUGAAAUUGAGUUUGAGAAGAUGCUUCGGAAGAGGUUUGCUCGCCGGGACGAAGAGUAUGGUUCGCUCGGAGUUGAUCGUCCCUGACAACAUCCUACCUGACAAAUCUCCCAAGCCUUCUCAAUAGGUUUAGGUCUGGUGGGAUGGUCAACCUUCGUCACUGGACUGGUGUUGAGAGAAAUGUUUGAUGUAGUCAGCUUAUGUUUCGUUUUUCAUCCCAAUAAUUCUUAGACCGAUCUCUUUGAGGAUUGACACAGUCUUUUUCUUUGUUGUAAUGUACUUAUUGUGUAAAUGCCUCACAUAUCAAAUCAAGUUAUUUAGUUUCUCCAA